UCAGCCCACAGUGGAGUGUCUGAACUGACACCUGCCCACUUUGGCCCAGAGACUGCCCAGGCCCAGAGCGCCCUUCACCUACAGCACAGCCCUCGUGGCCAUAUCCCCUGGGACUGCCUGGAUGAGCUGCACUUUUAAAAGGACUGAGAACUCCCUAAACUUUCUUUCUUUGGAGAUGAACUUUCUCUGCUCAAGUACAGCCACCAGAAUAAUCUUUGACCUUAUCAAGAACCCCAAAGCAUCCAUCUUACCACUGCCUAUCCUUGAGCACAUGUUUGCCUUUACCUCCCACCCUCCCCCAUCUAGCUUGAAUUCAAUGAGGCAUCAUUAUAAUUACCUCCUUGCAAAUCCCCUUAACUUCGUUGCCUUUCUCUAUCUCUACCAAAUGCACCUGUAUUCGCCAUGCCUUUACUUGCUCAGCUGCGUGUUAUUGAAAUUACCACACAAGAAGGCAAACUGUUGACGCAGUAAAUGUGCGAUCACCGCAUUUAAAAGGACACUGAACUGCCAUUGUGGCACUUUUUUCCAAGAAAUUUGCUCUGCUACUCUGAGUAGUGACACUCAUCUUUUCCUCAUUCCCCAAGCUUUCUCAUCCCACCCUCUGCCUCCAGUCCUCUCUCAUUUUUAGCUGAUGCCUUUCCUCAUAUUUCACAGAGAAAACAAAAGAGGUUACACAGAAGAUCUCACAUCGUCCCCCGACUAAAUCUACCAGUCUUUUCUGCAUCUCUACCUGUCUUCUCCUUCCUCGCAUUUCACUGGAGAAAGCAUCUCUCCUCCUGUCUAUGGUCAGUCUCAAAGCAAGUACUCUGGAUCCCAUUCCCUUUAAUCCUCUCAAAGAUUUCCCUUUCUGUUAUUCACUUUCUCCUCUGCAUCACCAGUUUCUCUCUUAGCUGGAUCUUCCCAUCAAUGGUAAAUUUAUUUCAGUAUCUUCCAUACACCUGUAAUCGCAGCUACUUGGGAGGCUGAGGCAGGAGAAUUGCUUGAACCCAGGAGGUGGAGGUUGCAGUGAGCCAAGAUCAUGCAAUCUAAGAAAAGACAGGUGUUUCUAAAGAGGGCUAGGAUAUGAGCACAGGCUCACCUGUAAGACAGCGUGGAAGGAAGGCAGGGCUACCAUUCAAAUGGGUUAGAAGAAGGAUCUAAUUUUUUAAGGACGUUAGCAUUGAGUAGGUUCAGAUGGAAAAAGCAAGCAAUCAAAGAGGUUAAUAGGUUUAGAAUACUUUCUUAUUAGCACAUUGUAAAGAUUUACUUAGAGAGACUAUUUUUUUAAAUCA
rnacentral:lncRNA from 1 species